GAUGAACGCUGGCGGCGUGCCUAAUACAUGCAAGUCGAGCGAACAGAUAAGGAGCUUGCUCCUUUGACGUUAGCGGCGGACGGGUGAGUAACACGUGGGUAACCUACCUAUAAGACUGGAAUAACUCCGGGAAACCGGGGCUAAUGCCGGAUAACAUUUAGCACCGCAUGGUUCUAUAGUGAAAGAUGGUUUUGCUAUCACUUCUAGAUGGACCCGCGCCGUAUUAGCUAGUUGGUAAGGUAACGGCUUACCAAGGCAACGAUACGUAGCCGACCUGAGAGGGUGAUCGGCCACACUGGAACUGAGACACGGUCCAGACUCCUACGGGAGGCAGCAGUAGGGAAUCUUCCGCAAUGGGCGAAAGACUGACGGAGCAACGCCGCGUGAGUGAUGAAGGUCUUCGGAUCGUAAAACUCUGUUAUUAGGGAAGAACAAAUGUGUAAGUAACUGUGAACGGCUUGACGGUACAUAAUCAGAAAGACACGGCUAAAUACGUG
rnacentral:rRNA from 1 species